rnacentral:rRNA from 1 species
GUUUUUAAUUGAAAUCUGGAAUGAAAGGGUUGGAUGAAUAUUAACUGUUUCUUAAGAAAUUAUUGAAUUUUAUUUUUUAGUAAAAAAGCUAAAAUUUUAUAAAGGGACGAGAAGACCCUAUAGAGUUUUAUAUUAUAAUUAUUAUUUUUUAUUUGGUUAAUUUUAAAUUUUAUUUUUUAUAAUAUUUUAUUGGGGUGAUAUUAAAAUUUAAUAAACUUUUAAUUAAAUAUAAACAAUUAUUUUUGAAAAAUUGAUCCAUUUUUUAUGAUUAAAAAAUUAAAUUACCUUAGGGAUAACAGCAUAAUUUUUUUAUAAAGUUCAUAUUAGUAAAAAAGAUUAU